rnacentral:lncRNA from 1 species
AAGGAAAAUAAAAAGUUGUAAGGAAAAAGUGCAGAUGAAGACGUUGACUGAGCAAGACCAUGCUCAGUUUGUCAGAGAGAGCAAGGGGGUUUCAGCCUUCUUCAUAUUGCCCACACAGUAAUCGGUCUUGGGUUGUUCCCAGAGGGACCAGCCUUCACAGCUUCCCUAACCUCUGCAUUGCCCCAGCCUCAACCAGAUUCUCACAGGCAGCAACGUGGGACUCUUCACGCUCAUCCUACUGCCCUAAGGGAGGUUGUGACGAAUGACUAUCUGAAUGUGUUUGUAUCCAUUGACUGCAGAAGGCACCUAGAUAACUCAUCUACAUUUACCACUUCAAUACCUUUCAGAAGGCUAAAUUGGGAGAAAGAACCCAACCCAGCUGCCUUACGAAAGUCAAGAGCAAGUGAAAUCCAUGAUGUUAUGAUAGUCAGCAAGGAGCCAGUCCUGGAGGCUAUGGACUCAGCAAGAGAGCAGAUAAAUCAAAGUAAAGAGGACUGCCAAACUUGUAUGUGACAUUGAAAUGAUCCUGGAUACCCUUCAGGUCUUAAAUCUAUUUUUGUGUUUGCAGAAGCAUCUUGAUAUUAGAAUGGUUCCAAUAAAUCUUUCUCUCAAUGUCA